GUAUUCUACGCGGAUGUCUUGGUGUGGAGCAGACAUUAAGGCACGCGGUGAAUAC
rnacentral:pre_miRNA from 1 species